UUACGGCCAUAUUAUGUUGAAACUACCAGUUUCCAUAUGAUCAUUGAAGUUAAGCAAUGUUGAGCCAGGUUUGUAUCUAGAUGGGUGACUGCUUUGGAAUACCAUGUGCAGU